UACGUAGGGUGCGAGCGUUAAUCGGAAUUACUGGGCGUAAAGCGUGCGCAGGCGGUAAGUUAAGUCUGAUGUGAAAGCCCCGGGCUCAACCUGGGAAUGGCAUUGGAAACUGGCUUGUUGGAGUGUGGCAGAGGGGGGUGGAAUUCCGCGUGUAGCAGUGAAAUGCGUAGAGAUGCGGAGGAACACCGAUGGCGAAGGCAGCCCCCUGGGCCAACACUGACGCUCAGGCACGAAAGCGUGGGGAGCAAACAGG
rnacentral:rRNA from 1 species